CGGAGUUAGCCGGGGUUUCUUUACUGGGUACCGUCAUUAUCUUCCCCAGCGAAAGAGUUUUACGAUCCUAAGACCUUCAUCACUCACGCGGCAUGGCUGGAUCAGGGUUUCCCCCAUUGUCCAAGAUUCCCCA
rnacentral:rRNA from 1 species